rnacentral:rRNA from 1 species
AGAGUUUGAUCCUUUCUGAGAUUGAACGCUGGCGGCAGGCUUAACACAUGCAAGUCUAGCGGUAACAGGGGGUGCUUGCACCCCGCUGACGAGCGGCGGACGGGUGAGUAAUGCUUAGGAAUCUGCCCAGUAGUGGGGGAUAGCCCGGGGAAACCCGGAUUAAUACCGCAUACGUCCUACGGGAGAAAGCAGGGGAUCUUCGGACCUUGCGCUACUGGAUGAGCCUAAGUCGGAUUAGCUAGUUGGUGGGGUAAAGGCCUACCAAGGCGACGAUCCGUAGCUGGUCUGAGAGGAUGAUCAGCCACAUCGGGACUGAGACACGGCCCGAACUCCUACGGGAGGCAGCAGUGGGGAAUAUUGGACAAUGGGGGCAACCCUGAUCCAGCCAUGCCGCGUGUGUGAAGAAGGCUUUCGGGUUGUAAAGCACUUUCAGCGAGGAGGAGGGCUCUGAAGUUAAUACCUUCAGGGAUUGACGUUACUCGCAGAAGAAGCACCGGCUAACUCCGUGCCAGCAGCCGCGGUAAUACGGAGGGUGCAAGCGUUAAUCGGAAUUACUGGGCGUAAAGCGCGCGUAGGUGGUUAGGUAAGCGAGAUGUGAAAGCCCCGGGCUUAACCUGGGAACGGCAUUUCGAACUGUCUGACUAGAGUGUGGUAGAGGGUAGUGGAAUUUCCUGUGUAGCGGUGAAAUGCGUAGAUAUAGGAAGGAACACCAGUGGCGAAGGCGGCUACCUGGACCAACACUGACACUGAGGUGCGAAAGCGUGGGGAGCAAACAGGAUUAGAUACCCUGGUAGUCCACGCCGUAAACGAUGUCAACUAGCCGUUGGGACUCUUGAAGUCUUAGUGGCGCAGCUAACGCACUAAGUUGACCGCCUGGGGAGUACGGCCGCAAGGUUAAAACUCAAAUGAAUUGACGGGGGCCCGCACAAGCGGUGGAGCAUGUGGUUUAAUUCGACGCAACGCGAAGAACCUUACCUGGCCUUGACAUCCAGAGAACUUUCCAGAGAUGGAUUGGUGCCUUCGGGAACUCUGAGACAGGUGCUGCAUGGCCGUCGUCAGCUCGUGUCGUGAGAUGUUGGGUUAAAUCCCGUAACGAGCGCAACCCCUAUCCCUGGUUGCUAGCAGGUAAUGCUGAGAACUCCAGGGAGACUGCCGGUGACAAGCCGGAGGAAGGUGGGGAUGACGUCAGGUCAUCAUGGCCCUUACGGCCAGGGCUACACACGUGCUACAAUGGCGCGUACAGAGGGCUGCCAACUCGCGAGAGUGCGCCAAUCCCUUAAAACGCGUCGUAGUCCGGAUCGGAGUCUGCAACUCGACUCCGUGAAGUCGGAAUCGCUAGUAAUCGCGAAUCAGAAUGUCGCGGUGAAUACGUUCCCGGGCCUUGCACUCACCGCCCGUC